rnacentral:lncRNA from 1 species
AUUGGCAGUUGGCCCUUCAGCUGCUGUACAGCCUCGGUAGGGGCCCAGGGGUAUUGAAUCUGGUUUUGGACCACAGGAGGAGAGUGAAGUGAAGUACAACCAAUAUUGUCAACAGCAAGAUCGUCAAGCCUCCCUGUUCCCUGCAGCAUAGCAAUAUUAAAAUUAGGCCAAUGAAAAAACCUACAAUGACCUCUAAGUGGUUCAAGUCAAAGAAAGAGGUGCAUGCCUCUUUUCCUUUAAAUCAAAUCAAAAGCAGAACAGGAUUGAGCUUAGUGAGGAAGGCAUAUUGAAAGCCAAGAUGGGCCAAAAGCUAGGUUGCUUGUGCCAAAGAAUUAGCCAAGUUGUGAAUGCAAAGGAGAAAAGUUCUUGAAGGAAAUUAAAAGUGCUACUCCAGUGAACACAUGAAUGAUAAGAAAGCAAAACAGACUUCUUGAUGAUAUGAAGAAAAUUUGAGUGGGCUCGAUAGAAGAUCAAAGCAGCCACAACAUUCCCUUAAGCCAAAGCAUAAUCCAUAGCAGGACCCUAACUCUCUUCAAUUGCAAUGAAUGCUGAGAGAGGUGAGAAAGUUGCAGAAGAAAAGUUUGAAGCUAGCAGAGGUUGCUUCAUGAGGUUUUAAAAAGAAAGCUGUCUCUACAAUGUAAAAGUGGAAGGUGAAGCAGCAAGUGCUGAUGUAGAAGAUGCAGCAAGUUAUCCAGAAGACCUAGCUAACAUACUUGAUGAUGGUGGUUACACUAAACAAUAAAUUUUAAAUGGAGAUGAAACGUGUUAUGUUAGAAGAUACUAUUGAGAACUCUCAUAGCUAGACAAGAGAAGUCAAUGCCUAGCUUCACAGCUUCAAAGGACAGGCUGGCUCUCUUUGUUAGGGGUUAAUGCAGCUGGUGACUUUAAGUUGAAGCCAGUGCUCAUUUACCAUUCCAAAAAUCCUAGGGCCCUUCCAAAUUAUGUUAAAUCUAAUCUGCCUGUGUUCCAUAAAUUCAACAACAAAGCCUGGAUGACAGCAUAUCUGUUCGUAGCAUGGUUUACAGAAUGUUGAAGCCCUCUGUUGAGUCCUACUGCUCAGAGAAGCAGAUCACUGUCAAUGUAUUACCGCUCUAAUGGAGGUGUACAAGGAGACCAAUGUUGCUUUCAUGCCUGCUAACACAAUAUACAUUCUGCAGCCCAUGGAUCAAGGAGUAAUUUUCACUUUCAAGUCUGAUUAUUUAAGAAAUACAUUUUAUAAGGCUAUGGCUGCCAUAGAGAAUGAGCCCUCUGAUGAAUGUGGGCGAAGUAAAUUGAAAGCCUUAUUGAAAGGAUUUACCAUCCUAGAUGCCAUUAAGAACAUUCAUGAUUCAUAGGCAGAAGGGCAAAAUAGCAACAUUAACAGGAGCUUGGAAGAGGUUGAUUCCAAUUCUCAUGGAUGACUUUGAGGAGUUAAGACUUCAGUGGAGGAAGUGACUGUAGAUGUGGUGGAACUAGCAAGAGAACUAAAACUAGAAGUAGAGCCUGAAGAUAAAUGACUAAUUUGCUCAAAUCUCAUGACAAAACUUUAAUGGUUGAGAAAGAAAGUGGUUUCUUGAGAUGGAAUCUCCCCUGGUGAAGAUACUGUGAAAACUGUGGAAAUAACAACAAAUGAUUUAGAAUAUUACAUACACUUGGUUGAUAAAGCAGUGGCAGAGUUUGAGAGGAUUGACUCCCAUUUUGAAAGCAGUUCUACUGUGGGUAAAAUGCUAUCAAGCGGCACUGCACGCUAGAGCAAUUUUUUGUGAAAGGAAGGGCCCAUGAUGUGGCAAAUCUAUUUGUUGUCUUAUUUUAAGUAAUUGUCACAAUUACCCCAACCUUCAGCAACCCCCCACCCUGAUCAGUCAGCGACCAUUAACAUGGAGGCAAGACCCUCCACCAGCGAAAAGAUUAUGACUCACUGAAGUCUCAGAUAACCAUUAGCAUUUUUAGCACUAACGCAUUUUAAAAUCAAGGCCUGUACAUUGUUUUCGUAAACAUAACGCUAUUGCAUACUUAAUGGACUACAGUAUAGUAUAAACGUACCUCUUAUAUGCACUGGGAAACCAAAAAAUUCGUAUGACUCACUUUGUUGCAAUAUUCACUUUAUUGGGGUAGUCUGAAAUUGACCCCACAAUCUCUCUGAGGUAUGCCUGUAAGUUUUGAUAAAUGUAGGCCCUCACAUAACCAACAGUAGUCGAGUUACAGGACAUUUUUCUCACCCUGAAAUUUCCUGCAUACAUCUUUCCAGUCAAUCUCCAUCUCCCUCAUAUGCAACUAUUGUUCUGAUUUUAGUCAUAGAUUAAUUUCACUUAUUCUUGAAUGUUUUAUAAACGGAAUAAUGUAGGUAUAUACUCUUUUGUGUCUGGAUUCUUUAGCUCAAGAAAAAAUUUUAACGAUUCAUCCAUAUUGUAGUCAAUAGAGGCAGUUCCUUAUUUUUGAGUGCUCUGUGUAAUUUGUUGACAAAUCUCCCUUUUGAUGAGCUUAUGAGUCAUUUUUCAGUUUUUGGCUAUGAGGAAAAAAGCUUGUGGAUUCUGGUACAAGUCAUUUUGGUUGACAAAUGUUUUCAUUGCUCUUGAGUAUACAAUUAGGAGAAGGAUUUUGGGGUCAUGGAUUAGGAGCAUGUUCAAUUUUUAAGACACUUACAAAUGCUUUUCUAAAAUGAUUGUACCAUUUUAUACUCUCAUCAGCAAUGUACAAGAGUUCCAGUUGCUCAUUAUUUUCACCAAUAUUUCACAUUAAUAGUCUUUUUAAUUUUAGCCUUUUUGGUGGGUAUAAACUCAUAUCCCAUUGGGAUUUUAAUUUUUAUCCACUGGUGACUUUUAAUAUCAAGAAACUUUUCAUGUGUUCAUCGAUCAUUUGUGUAUCUUCUUUCUGAAGGACUAUUAUUCUUUUCCCCAUUUGUAUAGGGUUGUUUGACUUUGUCUUAUGAAUUUGCAGGAGUUGUUUAUAUAUAUAUAUAUAUAUAUAUAUACACACACACACACACACACACACACACACACACACAAUAUAAGGCCUUUAUCAGAUAUUUGUGCUAUGAACAUUUUCUCCCAACUUAAGGCUUGCCUUUUCAUUUUUUUUAAUGGUGACUUUGUAAAAUCCAAUUUAUAUUUUUACAUUAAGAUUGUGGUAGGCCGGGUGUGGUGGCUCACACCUGUAAUCCCAGCACUUUGGGAUGCCAAGGCAGGUAUAUCACUGGAGGUCAGGGGUUCGAGACCAGCCUGGCCAACAUGAUGAAACCCUGUCUCUACUAAAAAUAUAAAAAUUGGCUGGGCGUGGUGGCACACUCCUGUAAUCCCAGCUACUUGGUAGGCUGAGGAAGGAGAAUUGCUUGAACCCAGGAGGCGGAGGUUGCAGUGAGCCGAGCUCAUGCUACUGCACUCUAGCCUGGGUGACAGAGUGAGACUCCGUCUAAAAAAAAGAUUGUGUUAUGCCCAUAAACGUGCUUUCUGUGUCUCUGCGUACUUCUUAGGUCUCAAAGGUAGUCUACACUCUGUUUGUUUUCUAGAUGCUAUAUAGAAUUGAAUAUUACCUUUAAGUAAUCUCAAACGCUGUAUAUGUUGUAAAGUAAGAAUCAAGGUUUUCUUUUUUUUAAUUUAUUACCAAUAUUGAAUCUUCCCCAUGCUGUAGCAUCAAGUGUGCCCAGGUGGAAAGCUGGCACAAUCAUGGGGCUCGUAUUGUGUGGUUCCCUUUUCUUAAUUUUUCUGUAUAAUUCUUAAUGCCUCUUAUAUUGUGUCCAAUUUCAUAGCUCUUUAGAAUAGGAGGGAAAGUUUAUUAGCAGACACUCUAUUAUGGAGAGAAGUAAAUACUUCCUUUCUGACAUAUUUUUUUAACUCAACUUUUCAGUAAUUCUUGAAAGUACAGGAAUGCAAAAUUGUUGUGUCUCAGUAACUUCUUGAUUUGCUUGCUUAUUCAAACUAUAGUUUCAAUCAACUCUAAAUUAUGUGCUUUACCAUUGUCUUUGGAUAUCUCUACCAUCGGCAAAGCAAAUAAUGUGGAAAUUCAUUUUAUUUAACUUAUUCUCAAACUAGAGUGUGACAAGGUUCCAAGGCAAGUGGAGGAAGGCCCAGUCUCAUACUGGACUGUCUUUUUGGGCCAGACUUCCAUUUUACAUGUAUCAGUGGACCUGAGUUUAGUUUCUGCCACUUUUUAUUAAAUUGAACCAGUUUAACUCGAGUGCGGUUUUGCUAAAUUUUGGAAUCAAAAUUUAUCACAGAUAUUAUGUGAUAAAAUGUAUCACAAAAUAUCUGUAGUGACAUCCAUUAGUUAACAUCAUUUGAGUUUUCUAUUAUGCGUUUAUGGGCAUUUGUCUCAUAGUUGGGCUCUUUACAUCCAUGAAUUGUGAUAGUUCUUUGUAUUCUAACAAUGAGCCACUUUAUGGGUUUUUGUCUGUCAUUUAUGUGUGUUUUUAUGUUCCACUUAGAUUUUUUUUCAUAUCUGAGAACCUCAGUUUACACUGAAGCCCACCUCAGAUAAGUCUGCCUAAUACUAUAUCUCAGUGCUUUACUUUUACCAGACCUUAAUGACUCUCUCUAUAUUUUAUACCUCUCUUGAAGUGAAAAUCUACCAAUUUGUUCCAAAUAAUGUAAUUCAUCUACCUUUAUGUAGGUAAAAUAUUCUUUUUAUUAAAGCAGGCAUGACAGGACCUAAGUUAUAAUUACUGAUAUGUUUCUAAAAUUUAUUAACAAUGGGCAUUUCAUAGCACCAAGUACACACUAUUUGUCUGUUUUAUACAUAAAACCUUCUGUAAAGUUCCUAUUAUGGAACCUGAAUAGAUCAAGAAUGACAAUUCUCUUAUCUUCAGCUUAUAAGAGGAUAGUGCAGGCUGGAAUUCACAUUAAGCAACUGUUAUGAAGCUACCUAUAUGGAUAUGCUACAUUAUAUUUAAAGGAAUACAUAAAGACAAUCAAAAACUUUACAAAUAAUGUGUUAGGAGACAGUUGAAUAUGCUGCAUAAUGACAUCUUUAAAGAUUAUACAGAGAUAGAUAGGGAUAAAUGAUGGGUAACUGGAUUUCAUGAAAGUACCUCCAGCAAAACGAACUGAAGGUACAGUACAGCUGUAGGUCAUUUUUCAUGUUCAAUAAUAAUGACCCAACUAAAGAUCAUUCCUGAAGUAAAUGCAAUGACUUUUUUUGCCACUAUUUGUUUAAUUGGACACCUAUAAGUGUGUUAUUUGCUUAAUCACACUAAAAUUUUGCAAAGAUAAAACAAUAUCUAAAAUAAUCUCAUCUAAGAUGUCCAUAAAGAUGAAGUUCUUUAGUCAAAUCAAUAAUCCUUCACUUUUCUCACCAAAGGCAAAAUUAUCUCCUAAAUCAAGAAUGAUGCACUUUAGCUAACUCCUCUGAUGUGUCAAAAAGAGCCAUUGCUCAUGACAGAUUCUAAGGAGCUACUCUUCCAGGCAGCCACUCAAGUAGAAAUACUCAGAGUACUAUACAUGCAUACCUAGAAGCAAAUCCCCCAGCGAUAUAAAAAAAAAACUAAUUAAAAAAGCCUAACUUUUGAACCACCAAAUCAAAAUAAUAAUUUUGCAAAAGGACCCCUUCAAAAGAAAACCGAAAGCUGUGUCUUCAUUGCAUUAUAUUGCAUGAACCUUGUUCAUACUAAUGUUCAAUUGUUGUUCAACUAGUUACAUAGACUAUGUUAUUUAGCUUUCUGACACAUGAUUUUCUCAGAUGGUAUGCCAUUAGCAGAUUUUCUUAAAGAAAAUAUAACUAUAGAAAGGAGGUGUAGUGUAAUGAAAGCCAGAAGAACAAAUGAGUAUUCCUGAGAGUACUUUUUCAGUAAUUUCUGCCAAUAGCUUUCUUUGUCCUUGGCCUGCUGUUUAGCCUCAGUUCAGUGCAUCAAUUCACCUGCUGAUUAAACAGAGAUAAAGUGUUCAUGUUUGGAAGCCCACAAUAUGCAAAGCAAUUAUUUUCCUUAAAAUAUAUACUUAGAAAUAGUUUUACAUAUAAAACACAGUUUUCCUGUAAAUUUAACAGGCCAGGGCAUGUUCUGUUGCCUGCAGUGGACCUGAUGAUGGAAUAAGAGACAAUGAGGACUUGGGUAGAUGUUACUGGGGUACAAAAAGAAAUUUGGUCUAAGGUGGUAGGGUGGGUUUGAAUGGUGAUGUGUUCACCACCACUGGCUGAACAAAGAGCAGGAUGCCAACAGAGGCUUCUGGUCUCCAGUGACCUAUCGGGUCCCUUACUCUGUCAGGCUGCGAACACUCUGGAACAUGGGGUAUGCUGCUGUGAAGAAUUGGCACGGGUGGGCAGAGUGCACUUAGGUAGAUCCCUGAUCUUCCGCAUCCUUUGCACUGCCUUUUUGCUGGGCAAAAGUCUGAGUCAUCAGUCUCGCUGAUCUUCAAACCCAGAUUUUGUCAUCUGGCCUGGCUCAACCUCCAAUAUAAGAUACAUGUUUUACACAGAAAAUACGUUGACACCAGGAAAAAAUACAGUAGCACUAGAAAUACAGAGAAACAGGUGAGGUCUUCUCAUUAUGAGGGGAAUAAAAGUAGAAGAUAUAAAUAAAGGUGGCUGAAAUGUGGUUGGGAGCAGAAGUGGGUUUGCUCAGAGGAUGUUGAGAAGCAGCAAGAGCUUUUCUGUAUGGGGUCUGAUUCUUAGAGUUUUCAAGCCUCUUCUGUCUAUUCCAUGGUAAUUCAUGGACUGCCACACUGGGGCUCAAUUCCUCCCUGGUGUCUGAAGUCUGCCUUUACCUUAAGCACUAAUGGGCAUUUAAGAAACUCUAGUCUACAUGCCUUGCACACACAGCUUGAACAGGAUGCUACCCUUGUUGCUUGUGUCAGCCUAAACUUAACUUCAGCAUGAUACACUGGACUUCCACUUGGUGCCCUUUUGCCUCCAUUUUGGUGUUCUCAGAUCAGAUAUAUCCUGGCUCCCUCCAUACUGGAGCCCUGUGGCCAUCUCCCUGUCCUUCAGGUCUGAGAACUCUCAUUUUCCCAGACUAGCAGAAUACCCUGAGGCAAGUGUUUUGCUGGAUUAUAAAAUAUAUUUUCUAGGAUCUGAAUGUUUGUGUUUCCUCAAAAUUCGUAUGUUGAAACCUAAUUAGGUAAUGGGAUUAGUGCCUUUAUGAAAGAGGCCCCAGAGAGCUGCCUUGCCCCUUCCAGCAUUGUGGGGACACAGCUAGAAGGUGUCAUCUGUGAACUAGGAAAUGUAGUUCAACAAACCAUGGCUGUUGCUAUCAUUACCUUUUAAAAUUUCCACAUGGUACCUAUACUUGUGGCUGUCCUUCAAAGGUCUGAGCCAUAACAUGGGAGGUUUAGUUUGUUCAUUCAUUAAUUCAUUCAAUCUGCUGUACUCUAGGCACUGUUCUAGGCAUUAGAUCUAAGUUUGUGCUUUCCUCACUGGGUUCCAUCUUGGUAUAGGUAAGUGAUUCAUGUCCAACUAUGCCUCAAAAUAGGAGACAUGGGAGAGGUAAUAUAGUACAGUGGGUAAGGAAGCUGGCUUUGACAUUACACAGGUGAAGUUUGAACACAAGCCUUUCUACUGGGCAGCUGAAUAAGGUAAAUAAGUUUUCUAUACCUGAAAUUUUCUUAUCUGAAAAAUAGAGACAAUUAUACUAUCUAUCUCCUAGGGUUGCUGUGAAGUUUAAGUGGAUACUUUUAGUGUGCUUAGAUUAGCACCUGGUCCAUAAAUGCUCAAUCAAUGUUAGCUAUAAUUAAGGUUUUAAGGUUUAAGCUCAGGGGUCUGAGGCCUGAUAGUUUAGACUUUCAACCUGGUUACCAAUUCCAAUGUUAAAAAACAAUUAAAAUUCUGAUUCUUUUAUAGAGAGAAGACUAUUUCUUUUAAAUUAUAUUUUACCUCUAAAUGAAUUUAAUUUUUCUCCCAUCCUUCCUCUUUGGGAAAUAUUAUUGGAACCAAAUUUUGUGGUAUAAAUCAGAAUAAUUUUGUGGCCUAGAUCCUUGAUUUUAUGGAGAAUUCUUGAAGAGUUUCAUUGGAAUUGUCUAUGUAUUUAGCUUCAGAUGGAAAGCUGAAAUUACUCAUCAAAGGAUUGCAAUAAGAGUGAUUUGAACCACAAGUAUAUCAGAACUUCAGGCUUCUCUAAGACAAGAAAAUAACUGACAGAUGAACUGCAGAAAAAGAAAUGGGGUGACUUAUUUAGACUGAGAUGGUCAUGUAGGCUGUAUAAAAAAGAAGAGUCAGAUAACAGGCUUGUCAAACUAGCUAAUUGCACCUGCAAACAAAGGACAUAGUUUAAAGCAUGGGUUUUAGAAAGGAAUGCUAGUCUCUCAUUUGUAUUUUCAGCUGGAUCUGCAUACAUGGGUAGGAUCACCACAAUUGACGAUGUCAUCUUUGAAUAGGGAGGAAUAGAGACUCACACAGAGCUUGCACCAGGGAGAUUCUACACACAGAUGAACAAUUCAUUAGCCAUUCAGAGCUGAAAGCUGCCGCCUAACUUUGCUCUGUAUGCUGAAAACAAUGCAAUGAUCAAAAAAGAAAAAAAAAAAAAGAAAAUAGAAUCAAGGCAGUAAGGUAACCCUUUAGGAAGUGAUGGGAGUGUUACAUCAACAUAUUGUCAAGAUCCAGAUAAAUCUGAAUAUCUACACAGUACUUUCUAUCCUAUGAGAUUUGAAACUUAGACUUCAUUUCAGAUUUGCGAACAGUGUUACCUAGUUCCCAUUCUAAAAUUACUAAAUCUACAAAACAUGCUUCAACCCUUUCUCCUUCAACUUUUUUUUUUAAAUGUUUCUCUUUUUAAAAAUAUGUAUUUUUAAAAAAUAUAUUUUUAUAUAUGUAUUUUUUGAGACAGGGUCUUGCUCUGUCACCCAGGCUGGAGUGCAGUGGUGCAAACAUAGCUCGCUGCAGCCUCAACUUCCUGGGUUCAGGUGAUCCUUCCAUCUCAGCUUCCUGAGUAGAUGGCACAACAGGCACAUGCCACCAAGCCUGGCUAAUUUUUGUAUUUUUGGUAGAGAGAGUUUCACCACGUUGCCUAGGCUGGUUUCAAACUCCUGAGCUCAAGCAAUCCACCUUGGCUUCCUGAAGUGCUGGGAUUACAGGUGGGAGCCACCGUGCCCUGCCAUCAGUGUAUUUUUUUUUCUGAAAUUUUAUAAUAAGUUAUCACAAAUUAUGAUAAAUUGCAUUUUCCCAAAGAUUAAAUUAACAAACUUCCCUUGAGCACUU